UUAUGGAGAAAGAAUUACCGUGGAAGCUAUGGUGUUGAUUUGAAUCGAAAUUUUGGUGUCGCAUUCGGAAGUAAGUUUCAUUUACGAUUGACUGAAAGACUUAAGCCUAUAGUAAAAUUACUUUGUAAUCCCAUGUGAUCCUCUAAGCUCAAUAGUGCAAUCCCAGUGAAGUGUAAAUAUUAAGUUUUUUUUUUAAAUAUAGGUAUUGUAUCUUGAUUCGCUAUUUUAUAAAUGUCUAAUCAGAGUUUGGCGCAACCAAAGAAAAUAAACAAGAUGAAGAGUUUUGUGGUGAAGUACCUUUCUCUGAACCAGAAUCAUCGGCACUGGCAGCAUUUGUAAGGGACCAUAGCGAUUUGCUGGAGUAUUAUAUAUCUUUUCAUUCAUACGGACAGUAUAUUGUCAUCCCUUACGCAUUUGAAAAAGAACAUAUGGAUAAUUAUGACACAGUGAAAAUGUAUGCUGAUAUGAUAGCAAAACGAUCAUCACAAAAACAUAAUAUUCAUUAUCACGUAGGAACUGCUUAUGAUACAGUGGGCAAGUAUUUUUACAAUAUUUUUCCUGGUGUUUGUGCAAGAUAAAUUUGACCCACUUUUCGGUAUCCUAUUGAUCUUAAAUUUGGUAUAUCUACGUACGUUUAGUUUGUUAAGCAAGCUAGCAAAUUUUUUGACCAUUAAACUCAUCUGAAGGUGCAAACCGAAGGAGGGUCCAUCGAAUCUAGACUCGAUAUAAUAAUCUCUUGUAAAUAGUAGAAACUAAAGAAAAGUAUAUAAUUGGUGAGGUAAUUACUAUCUUUUUAUAUACUUACCUACAUAAUAAAUAAAAGUGAAUUUUUGUAAGCUAAAUAUUAGAACAGGUAUAUACACUUAAAUGUGUGGGCAAAAAUGAGUCAAGGUAUAAAAAAUAACACUGAUUGAAAUAGGUAUUAGGAUGUACCUACUGCUAUAUUCGAAGUAUUUUUAUUUAAAAAAUACUUACAUAUACUUAUCAUACCUGCCUCUCAAUAAAUUACAUUUACAUAAUAAUUUCUCAAAAACUACCCACAAAAAUUGUAUCAUUUAAAAUCUACUAUUAUUUUCAAUUGCAUGAUACAAUUUGUGUUGGGUAGUUUAAAAAAAAAUAUCGGGAUUAUGUCAGAAACGCCUGGUAACUCUAUAAUAUCGUUUUUUUUUCAGGCUACUUAGCCUCAGGCACAAGUUCUGACUGGGUGAAAAAAUCCAUAAAUGUCCCUUACACAAUAACUAUCGAGCUUCCCGAUCAGGGUUACUACGGGUUCACGUUACCCAAAGAGCAUAUCUUGCCCACGUGUGAGGCGACAAUGGACGCUUUACUUCCUUUCCUGGCCCCGAAAAAUGACUCCAAGCUCCGAAUCCGAUGGAACCCGGUCCAAAGUGGAGCUAAACGACACAAGAGCUUUAAGACCGUGUUUUUUAUAGCCUUGUCUGUAUUAUUUUGGUAGAUUUUUUGAAA